GUAGUGGCAGUGUGUUGCAGGGAGUCAGAGGAAAGAGACGGGAGUGAAUGGCUAACACUCAGCUUCCUUGAAGAGCCAUCUCACCUCAAUACUGAGAGAGGAGCAGUGGGAGUGACUUUUACAGCUCAGACUCAAAGCCCAGGCUUUACUGGUAACAUCUAUUUUCUAAAACCCCAUGAAAAAGUAGGAGAUACUGCACCUGUGCAACAGUCCUGUUUGUGUCCUGUACUCUGGUCACUUGUCUUUUACUCUAGUGAAACCAACCUGAAAGUGAAGCAGGCCAUCUCAGUUACCAGUGACAUGGAAGAUCAUCUGGAGCUUCUGUCUGCCUUUAAUGGAGAAGUGAGAUGUGAGGCUCCCAAUAACAAACUGGACAGAUUCUCAGGAAUACUGACCUAUAAAGGGAAAAACUACUUCCUGGACCAUGACAAGCUGCUACUCCGAGGCUGCAUCAUCAGGAAUACAGACUGGUGCUAUGGCUUGGUGAUCUACACUGGGCCAGACACCAAAUUAAUGCAGAACAGUGGAAAGUCCACUUUUAAACGAACACAGAUAGACCAUCUCAUGAAUGUCCUUGUACUCUGGGUAAGUUAAAUACUUUUUUUUUCUUUGUUUCUUUACAAAUAGACAUACUUCCCUUCCUUUCACAGAAGAAAUGGCAUUUCCAGUUCAGAAUUUAGCUGUUUGAAAGUCUCAAGCAGUCUUAGGAUCCCAGAGAUUAAGAUCUGAGGCAGAAAAGAACAGACAAGUUACAAGAGAGUCUAGCUUAUACCUCUGUUAGAAAGAAUAGUCACAAAGUAUUUAAAAAGAUAUUAUGCUUUGAUUAGUGUACAAGAAUGGAUCAAGGACCCAGUUUAGAAAUUAAGACAUAUUUUUAUUUUCUUAUAAUCAGUUUUAUUCAUGACCACUUUAAUAAAACCUUACUUAGACUAAUAAAACACCUAAUUUAAACUGAAGAUUUUCAAACUCUUUUCUUAGAGGAGUCUUAAGGUCUGGUGCAGUGGGAAUAGGGGAGAUCAAGUGGAUAUUAUUCUAGCCUCCUCAUUUUGAAGUUCUUGCUUUAAAAAGAACAACUUCAUGUUUAUCUAUUUUAUACAAUUUCAGUUGUAAAAAUAGAGGGUGUUCUACUAAGAAGUGAAAUUUGAAAAGCACUACAAUAUAUAACAAUCAGCUUUGAUAAGAGAUGUUUAAGUUGAAGACUAAUAAAUAAAUUAUUUCUGCUAUCUGAUAUAAGCUGACUUCAUUCUUCCUAGAUAUAGACAGAUUAAUUUCCUCUCUCAAACAGCUUCUUUGCAUAGCUGAACAGUUCCUGUAAUGCCUACACUUGAUCUCAUAACUUUUCAAUUUAUUUUUACUGUAUUGUUUAGACUCUGAAAACUCAAAAAAUACCUUUUCUUUGUAUAUUCUUAUCAUUAAUAUUUGAAUUAUAAACUGCCUUUUCUUCUUCAUUAUGGGAAACAUCCCAGAUCCUUUUCAAAAUCCUUUGGAUCUAGCAAAAGGGAUUUUAGAAAAUUAGGAAGGUUCGUUCAGCUCAAAAACUAGUAUUCAUUAUACUUCUCUUUCUACUAUUGAGUAAGUAGUUUUCAGCAGUUGAUCAAAGUUCCAUUUCCUAGUUUCUUAAUGAGGAAGACAAUCAUGGUCAAGAAUUCAGGAAGGUAACAUGGGCAAAUAUGCUUUUGACAACAUUAGCAACAUAUAUCAUUAGACAGUAGGCUAGGUCAUUUAGCCUAGGCUUGUCUUCAAAACAGGAUGUCUUCAAAUGGGUGUGAUGGCCCACACCUGUAAUCCCAGCAGGUUGGGAGGCCGAGACAGGAGGAUUGUUCAAGCCCAGAAGUUUGAGAGCAGCCUGGGAAACAGCGAGACCCCAUCUCUAUAAAAAACAACAACAAAACACAAAAACACAGGUGGAACAAGAUGGCUGAAUAGAAGUCUUUAUUAAUCACCCCCCCACACCUCCACAGAAACACCAAAUUUAACAACUAUCCACAUAUAAAAGUACCUACAUAAGAAACAAAAAUGAGGUGAACAAUCACAGUACCUGGUUUUAACAUCAUAUCACUGAAAGAAGCAUUGAAGACAAUCUUGAAUUACUGAUGCCACCAUUCCCCCAUCUCCUGGUGGCCAUGCAUGGUGCAAAGAACUUGUAAGCUUUGGGGAGGGAGAGCACAGCAAUUGUGGAACCCUGCAUUGAACUCAGUGCUGUUCUGUCAUAGCAGAAAGCAAAACCAAGUUGAACUCCACUGACACCCACCCAUAGAGGGAGCAUUUAGACCAACCCUAGCCAGAAGGGAAUGGCCCAUCCCAGCAGUCAGAACUUCAGUUUUGUCAAGCCUUACCACCUUGGGCGAAAGUGCUCUGGGGUCCUAAAUAAGCUUGAAGGCAGUCUAGGCCACAAAGACUACCAUUCCUAGGCAAGCCUUAAUACUUUACUGAACUCAGAGCCAGUAGACAUGGGGUGGGGGGGCAAGUGCACAAAACCUAGUGAAACACCAACCAGAGCAGAGAAGGUAAUGUUAAUGCUACCACUCCCACAACCCCAGGCAGCACAGCUUACAGUAACAAAAGUGACUCCUUUCUUCUGCAUGAGGAGAUGGAAGAGUAAAGAGGCCUUUGUCUUGCAAAUUGGAGACCAGGUCAACCACAGUACCAUAGGGCAGUGGACAGAGUCAUGAGGCCCCUAUUCUAGGCCCUAGCUCCCAGACAGCAUAUCUAGAUAUACCCUGGACCAGAAGGGAACCUGCUGUCUUGAAGGGAAGGACCCAGUCCUGGCAGGGUCAUCACCUGCUGACUAAAGAGCCCUUGGGCCCUGAAGGACCAGCAGCAGUACCCAGGUAGUACAUUAUGAGCCUUGGGUGAGACUGUAGAGUGGCAGUAUCUAGAUGUGCUGGCUUCAGGUGAAACCCAGCACAUUCCCAGCCAUGGUGACUAUGGUGAGAGACUUCUGCUUGGGAAAAGCAUAGGGAACGGUAAAAAGGACUUUGUCUUACAGCUUAGGUACCAGCUCAGCCACAGUGGGGUAGAACAGCACGUGGGCCCUUGGUGCCCCUGAUUCCAGCCUUGGCUCUUGGAUGGCAUUUCUGGACCUGCCUUGAGCCAGAGGGUAGCCCACUUCCCUGAAGGGUGAGUCCCAAGACUGACAGUAUUCAACACAAGCUGACUAAGCCCUUG
ensembl:lincRNA